rnacentral:snRNA from 1 species
GGCACCCUCUCUAUAUAAAAUUGGAAUGAAACAAAGAGAAUCAGCACGCCUCCUGUGCAAGGAUGACAUGCAAAUUUGUGAAGCAUUCCAUUUGUUU